rnacentral:rRNA from 1 species
AUGUCAUAUAGUCCGAAUGCCCGGGGACCCCGUAAUCCGGGACUCCCUCAACAACGCAUCGAUGUCACAUUGGCUUGCUGGAAUGAGGGUCUCGUCCGAACGAUUUUUACCCACUUUGACGCCGAGGCAAUUCUCAAGAUCCCACUGUGUACGCGCCAAGUUGAGGACUUCUGGGCUUGGCAUCAUGAUCCUAGAGGAAGAUUCAGUGUUCGGUCUGCCUAUCAUAUGAUUCUCAAGACGAAGCACGGCAGGGAGGCAUGGCUGCAUGAGGAGGGCGGUACCUCCUAUGAGUUCAGCGAAACCAACAACUGGUCCAUGAUCUGGCAUAUCCAAGUCCCCUCAAAACUCAAGAUGUUUCAAUGGCGACUAGCCCGGCCGUCUAUGCCAACCGGGACUGUGUUGGAGCAUCAUCACAUGGCAACAGAAAACACUUGCCUACUCUGCGGAGCCGUGGACACAUGGAAACAUGCACUAAUCUCAUGUCCUAUGUCUGCAAGUGUAUGGGCGCUGGCACCUGAGGAGUUGGUGCACCACAUGCUAGAGCGAGGAGAGGAGAACCCGAAGGAUUGGCUAUUUGCAAUACAUGAAAUAUUAACAAAACAGCUCUUUGAUCGGUUGGUGGUUUCACUUUGGGCGAUAUGAGGAAUCAGAAGGAAGGCCAUCCAUGAGAACAACUUCCAAUCUCCCCACUCGGUGGACAGCUUCAUAUCUAGCUACUUGGGCGAGCUGCAGGUCAUCAAUGCCAAAACUCAUGUUGUGACGGCGCAAAGAACCGCGAGCCCAAGGAGGUGGUUGCCCCCGUCGGCGGGCAAUGCCAAGAUAAACGUCAAUGCGGCUGUGUCUAGGCAAGGAUUCGGGUCUAUUGGGGUGAUAUGCAGAGAUCAUGAAGGUAUGUUCAUCGGUGCAUCAACUUUUGGCUUCCGAAACAUUGUAGACCCACCGACCCUUGAAGCUCUGGCCAUUAGAGAAGCUCUGGCACUGGCAGACAAUCUAUAUUUGCGGUGGAUUGAAGUUGCAUCAGAUUGCAAAGUGGUGGUGGAAGAUUUACAGAAGGACAAUUUUGCAAGCUACGGUGCAAUUGUUCAUGAAAUAAUAGCCCAUGUUACGGAAGCAACUUAA